rnacentral:rRNA from 1 species
AGAGUUUGAUCAUGGCUCAGAACGAACGCUGGCGGCGUGCUUAACACAUGCAAGUCGAACGGAAUUAGGGGCUUGCUCCUAAUUUAGUGGCGCACGGGUGAGUAACGCGUGGAUAACCUACCCUGGUAUCUGGGAUAACAUCUCGAAAGGGGUGCUAAUACCGGAUAAGCCCACGGGAACUUUGGUUCUUGCGGGAAAAGGUGGCCUCUAUUUAUAAGCUACUGUAUCAGGAUGGGUCCGCGUACCAUUAGCUAGUUGGUAGUGUAAUGGACUACCAAGGCUACGAUGGUUAGCUGGUCUGAGAGGAUGAUCAGCCACACUGGAACUGAGACACGGUCCAGACUCCUACGGGAGGCAGCAGUGGGGAAUUUUGCGCAAUGGGGGAAACCCUGACGCAGCAACGCCGCGUGAGUGAUGAAGGCCUUCGGGUCGUAAAGCUCUGUCAGAGGGGAAGAAGUGUAUGGGUGCUAAUACCGCUUAUACUUGACGGUACCCUCAAAGGAAGCACCGGCUAACUCCGUGCCAGCAGCCGCGGUAAUAC